rnacentral:rRNA from 1 species
GAUGAACGCUGGCGGCGUGCCUAAUACAUGCAAGUCGAGCGAAGCGGGGACGGGUGAGUAACACAUGGGUAACCUCCUCUAAGACUGGGAGAACUUCGGGAGACCGGGGCUCAACCGGAGACUUAUAGAUGGAUCCGCGCUGCAUUAGCUAGUUGGUGAGGUAACGGGUUACAAGGGCAACGAUGCAUCGCCGACCUGCGGGGGUGAGCGGCCACACGGGAACUGAGACACGGUCCAGAGUCCUAGGGUAGGCAGCAGUAGGGAAUCUUCCGCUAUGGGCGAAAGCCUGACGGAGCAACGCCGCGUGAGUGAGGAAGGUCUUCGGAUCUUAAAGCUCUGUUAUUAGGGAAGCGGUACCUAAUCAGAAAGCGACGGCUAACUACGUGCCAGCAGCCGCGGUAAUAC